rnacentral:rRNA from 1 species
GAUGAACGCUGGCGGCGUGCUUAACACAUGCAAGUCGAACGGAAAGGCUCCUGCUUGCAGGGGUACUCGAGUGGCGAACGGGUGAGUAACACGUGGGUGAUCUGCCCUGCACUUCGGGAUAAGCCUGGGAAACUGGGUCUAAUACCGGAUAGGACGAUGGUUUGGAUGCCAUUGUGGAAAGUUUUUCGGUGUGGGAUGAGCUCGCGGCCUAUCAGCUUGUUGGUGGGGUAAUGGCCUACCAAGGCGUCGACGGGUAGCCGGCCUGAGAGGGUGUACGGCCACAUUGGGACUGAGAUACGGCCCAGUCUCCUACGGGAGGCAGCAGUGGGGAAUAUUGCACAAUGGGCGCAAGCCUGAUGCAGCGACGCCGCGUGGGGGAUGACGGCCUUCGGGUUGUAAACUCCUUUCGCUAGGGACGAAGCGCAAGUGACGGUACCUGGAGAAGAAGCACCGGCUAACUACGUG